rnacentral:rRNA from 1 species
UACAGAGGGGGCAAGCGUUGUUCGGAAUUACUGGGCGUAAAGGGCGCGUAGGCGGCCUGUUAAGUCGAACGUGAAAUCCCUGGGCUCAACCCAGGAACUGCGUCCGAUACUGGCAGGCUUGAAUUCGGGAGAGGGAUGCGGAAUUCCAGGUGUAGCGGUGAAAUGCGUAGAUAUCUGGAGGAAUACCGGUGGCGAAGGCGGCAUCCUGGACCAUUACUGACGCUUAAGCGCGAAAGCUAGGGGAGCAAACGGG